rnacentral:rRNA from 1 species
GAUGAACGCUGGCGGCGUGCCUAAUACAUGCGAGUCGAGCGAACAGACGAGGAGCUUGCUCCUCUGACGUUAGCGGCGGACGGGUGAGUAACACGUGGAUAACCUACCUAUAAGACUGGGAUAACUUCGGGAAACCGGAGCUAAUACCGGAUAAUAUAUUGAACCGCAUGGUUCAAUAGUGAAAGACGGUUUUGCUGUCACUUCUAGCUGGAUCCGCGCCGCAUUAGCUAGUUGGUAAGGUAACGGCUUACCAAGGCAACGAUGCGUAGCCGACCUGAGAGGGUGAUCGGCCACACUGGAACUGAGACACGGUCCAGACUCCUACGGGAGGCAGCAGUAGGGAAUCUUACGCAAUGGGCGAAAGCCUGACGGAGCAACGCCGCGUGAGUGAUGAAGGUCUUCGGAUCGUAAAACUCUGUUAUUAGGGAAGAACAAAUGUGUAAGUAACUAUGCACGUCUUGACGGUACCUAAUCAGAAAGCCACGGCUAACUACGUG